UCCUUAGAGUUGAAGGUCUUUCAUAAACAAUUUUUCUAUCUUUAUUAUGUAGGAAUAAGACCUACGUAUACUUUACACCUCCGAAUUCUACUUGUGAAAUUCACUAGACUUGUUAUAUGCAUCUUUUAGCAACUACGCAUGAUGAGCUAAUGGUAUCUUACUUUGAUUGCCUGUUUGAAGUCCUAUAAUCGAGAAAUGAAGAAUCGGGAAUUACAGUAAGACAGGUUUAGAUAAUUUUUUGUUAAAUUAUAUGUAUAAUAUUGAAGAGGAAUCCUCUCGUCACUGACAUAUCACAGGACGCCGAAUGGUUAUCCUCUAUGCAAUUAUAAUGCAAAGAUGUUAAGGGCAUGUAAGUUUGAAAUAUCUCUUAUACGUGUAUUUUUCUUUUAGAUUUUGAUAGAGGAAGUGUCUAAUCCCUCACCUGAACGGUGGCUUUAAUUAAG
rnacentral:lncRNA from 1 species